CCUACGGGAGGCUGCAGUGAGGAAUAUUGGUCAAUGGGCGGGAGCCUGAACCAGCCAAGUCGCGUGAGGGAAGACGGUCCUAUGGAUUGUAAACCUCUUUAGGCGGGGAGCAAUGCCGGGCACGUGUGCCCGGAGGGAGAGUACCCGCAGAAUAAGCAUCGGCUAACUCCGUGCCAGCAGCCGCGGUAAUACGGGGGAUGCGAGCGUUAUCCGGAUUUAUGGGGUUUAAAGGGUGCGUAGGCGGCUUUUUAAGUCAGCGGUAAAAUGUCCGGGCUCAACCCGGGCCGGUCGUUGAAACUGGGGAUCUUGAGUGGGCGAGAAGUAUGCGGAAUGCGUGGUGUAGCGGUGAAAUGCAUAGAUAUCACGCAGAACUCCGAUUGCGAAGGCAGCAUACCGGCGCCCGACUGACGCUGAGGCACGAAAGCGUGGGGAUCGAACAGGAUUAGAUACCCGUGUAGUC
rnacentral:rRNA from 1 species